GGAGCAUGUGGUUUAAUUCGAAGCAACGGGAAGAACCUUACCAGGUCUUGACAUCCCUNUGNACAACCNNAGAGAUAGGGCUUUCCCUUCGGGGACAGAGUGACAGGUGGUGCAUGGUUGUCGUCAGCUNGUNUCGUGAGAUGUUGGGGUUAAGUCCCGCAACGAGCGCAACCCUUGAUCUUAGUUGCCAGCAUUCAGUUGGGCACUCUAAGGUGACUGCCGGUGACAAACCGGAGGAAGGUGGGGAUGACGUCAAAUCAUCAUGCNCCUUAUGACCUGGGCUACACACGUGCUACAAUGGACAGAACAAAGGGCUGCAAGACCGCAAGGUUUAGCCAAUCCCAUAAAUCUGUUCUCAGUUCGGAUCGCAGUCUGCAACUCGAGUGCGUGAAGCUGGAAUCGCU
rnacentral:rRNA from 1 species